GAAUCUUGCACAAUGGGGGCAACCCUGAUGCAGCGACGCCGCGUGAGCGAUGAAGCCCUUCGGGGUGUAAAGCUCUUUCGACCGGAACGAUGAUGACGGUACCGGGAGAAGAAGCUGCGGCUACCUACGUGCCAGCAGCCGCGGUAAUACGUAGGCAGCGAGCGUUGUUCGGAGUUACUGGGCGUAAAGCGUGCGUAGGCGGUUUUCUAAGUCUGGUGUGAAAUCUCCCGGCUUAACCGGGAGGGUGCGCCGGAUACUGGAAGGCUUGGAGUGCGGGAGAGGUACGCGGAAUUCCUGGUGUAGCGGUGAAAUGCGUAGAUAUCAGGAGGAACACCGGCGGUGUAGACGGCGUACUGGACCGUGACUGACGCUGAGGCACGAAAGCGUGGGGAGCAAACAGG
rnacentral:rRNA from 1 species